GAUGAACGCUAGCUACAGGCUUAACACAUGCAAGUCGAGGGACCGGCGCACGGGUGUGUAACACGUACCCAACCUGCCCUUUACUCGGGGAUAGCCUUUCGAAAGAAAGAUUAAUACCCGAUAUAAAGGAUGGGGAUGCGUUGCAUUAGGUUGGUGGUGAGGUAACGGCUCACCAAGCCUUCGAUGGAUAGGGGUUCGGAGAGGAAGCACACUCACAUUGGAACUUGGACAAGACCCAAACUGGUACGAGAGGCGGCAGUGAGGAAUAUUGGGCAAUAGGCCCUAGCCUGAACCAGCCAAGUAGCGAGAAGGAUGAAGGCUUAUGAGGCGUAAACUUCUUGGAUAUAAGAAUAUGUAUUAUAUUAAUAAGGAUCGGCUAACUCCGUGCCAGCAGCCGCGGUAAUAC
rnacentral:rRNA from 1 species